rnacentral:rRNA from 1 species
UACGUAGGGUGCGAGCGUUAAUCGGAAUACUGGGCGUAAAGCGUGCGCAGGCGGUGAUGUAAGACAGGUGUGAAAUCCCCGGGCUUAACCUGGGAACUGCAUUUGUGACUGCAUUGCUGGAGUGCGGCAGAGGGGGGGAUGGAAUUCCGCGUGUAGCAGUGAAAUGCGUAGAUAUGCGGAGGAACACCGAUGGCGAAGGCAAUCCCCUGGGCCUGCACUGACGCUCAUGCACGAAGCGUGGGAG